UACGGAGGGUGCGAGCGUUGUCCGGAAUCAUUGGGCGUAAAGGGCGCGUAGGUGGCCCGGUCAGUUCGUGGUGAAAGCGCGGGGCUCAACUCCGCGUCGGCCAUGAAUACUGCUGGGCUGGAGCACUGUAGAGGCAGGCGGAAUUCCGGGUGUAGCGGUGGAAUGCGUAGAGAUCCGGAAGAACACCGGUGGCGAAGGCGGCCUGCUGGGCAGUGGCUGACACUGAGGCGCGACAGCGUGGGUAGCAAACAGG
rnacentral:rRNA from 1 species